GCCAGACUCCUACGGGAGGCAGCAGUGGGGAAUCUUCCGCAAUGGGCGAAAGCCUGACGGAGCAACGCCGCGUGAUCGAAUGAAGGCCUUCGGGUUGUAAAGAUCUGUUGACAGGGACGAAUAAGCAAUGCGAAUAGUUUUGUGUAUGACGGUACCUGUUUAGAAAGCUCCGGCUAACUCCGUGCCAGCAGCCGCGGUAAUACGGAGGAUGCGAGCGUUAUCCGGAUUUAUUGGGUUUAAAGGGUGCGUAGGCGGAUUUUUAAGUCAGCGGUAAAAUGUCCGGGCUCAACCCGGGCCGGCCGUUGAAACUGGGGAUCUUGAGUGGGCGAGAAGUAUGCGGAAUGCGUGGUGUAGCGGUGAAAUGCAUAGAUAUCACGCAGAACUCCGAUUGCGAAGGCAGCAUACCGGCGCCCGACUGACGCUGAGGCACGAAAGCGUGGGGAUCGAACAGGAUUAGAUACCCGGGUAGA
rnacentral:rRNA from 1 species